CUCAGGUCUCUUUCCAUAUUAGGUAGUAGCUUAAUCAACAAGAAGCCUCAUAUUCUGGUUUAUGGAGUCUGAACGGCUAAACAUAUUUAACCUAACAGUGCACGGGUUACAGUACAGAUUAGGCAUUAGUUUGCAAAUAUUACAAAUGUGACAUCCACCAGCAUACACAUUGAGACGACAUGCAUCUUCAUUGCUAUCGCAUUAAAUCUGCCAAACUACAC